rnacentral:rRNA from 1 species
UGCAAGUCGAGCGAACUGAUUAGAAGCUUGCUUCUAUGACGUUAGCGGCGGACGGGUGAGUAACACGUGGGCAACCUGCCUGUAAGACUGGGAUAACUUCGGGAAACCGAAGCUAAUACCGGAUAGGAUCUUCUCCUUCAUGGGAGAUGAUUGAAAGAUGGUUUCGGCUAUCACUUACAGAUGGGCCCGCGGUGCAUUAGCUAGUUGGUGAGGUAACGGCUCACCAAGGCAACGAUGCAUAGCCGACCUGAGAGGGUGAUCGGCCACACUGGGACUGAGACACGGCCCAGACUCCUACGGGAGGCAGCAGUAGGGAAUCUUCCGCAAUGGACGAAAGUCUGACGGAGCAACGCCGCGUGAGUGAUGAAGGCUUUCGGGUCGUAAAACUCUGUUGUUAGGGAAGAACAAGUACGAGAGUAACUGCUCGUACCUUGACGGUACCUAACCAGAAAGCCACGGCUAACUACGUGCCAGCAGCCGCGGUAAUACGUAGGUGGCAAGCGUUAUCCGGAAUUAUUGGGCGUAAAGCGCGCGCAGGCGGUUUCUUAAGUCUGAUGUGAAAGCCCACGGCUCAACCGUGGAGGGUCAUUGGAAACUGGGGAACUUGAGUGCAGAAGAGAAAAGCGGAAUUCCACGUGUAGCGGUGAAAUGCGUAGAGAUGUGGAGGAACACCAGUGGCGAAGGCGGCUUUUUGGUCUGUAACUGACGCUGAGGCGCGAAAGCGUGGGGAGCAAACAGGAUUAUAUACCCUGGUGUCCAUCCCGUCAACGAUGAGUGCUAAGUGUUAGAGGGUUUUCGCCCUUUACUGCUGCGGCUAACGCAUUACGCAUUCCGCCUGGGCAGUACGGUCGGAAGACUGAAACUUAAAGGAAUUGACAGGAACCCGCACCAGCGG